GAAUGGUUCUUCACCCAAAGGGCUUUGGAAACAUGCUUUUCAAAGUCGCCUGGGGAUGGGGCCGCGUCCGAUCAGGUUGUUGGUGAGGUAACGGCUCACCAAGCCUAUAACCGGUACGGGCCGUGAGAGCGGUAGCCCGGAGAUGGGUACUGAGACAAGGACCCAGGCCCUACGGGGCGCAGCAGUCGCGAAAACUCCGCAAUGCACGAAAGUGUGACGGGGCUACCCCGAGUGCCGUCCGCUGAGGAUGGCUUUUCCUCGGUGUAACUAGCCGGGGGAAUAAGGAGAGGGCAAGACUGGUGUCAGCCGCCGCGGUAAUACCAGCUCUCCGAGUGGUAGGGAUGAUUAUUGGGCUUAAAGCGUCCGUAGCCGGCUUAGCAAGUCUCCUGUUAAAUUCAGCGACCUAAUCGUUGAGCCGCGGGAGAUACUACUAGGCUAGGAGGCGGGAGAGGUCGACGGUACUUCCGGGGUAGGGGUGAAAUCCUAUAAUCCCGGGCGGACCACCAGUGGCGAAGGCUGUCGACUAGCACGCGCUCGACGGUGAGGGACGAAAGCUGGGGGAGCGAACCGGAUUAGAUACCCGGGUAGUCCCAGCCGUAAACGAUGCGGGCUAGGUGUUGAGGUGGCUACGUGCCACUUCAGUGCCGCAGGGAAGCCAUUAAGCCCGCCGCCUGGGGAGUACGGCCGCAAGGCUGAAACUUAA
rnacentral:rRNA from 1 species